rnacentral:lncRNA from 1 species
CUGGAGCCCUAAAGGAAAAAAACAUCUGAAUCGAGACACUGCGACCAUUUCGUUUCUUGAAGACAUAGAAUAUUCGGUUUCAAACUUGCAAUUAAAUCCUUUACCCUGUACUUCUUGCGAUCAUCUCCCAAGCCAUGCACGUUCCAGCUUAAGUUCUUAACAAUCACGGGGCGGGGAGGAGGGUACAAGCUUAUUAGUGCGUCUCGGCAGCGGUGUCACGUCUGAGAAGUAAUCGUUUGUUCUGAUUUUGUGUAAUUCCCGCUCUUUCCAGGUAGACCGUGUAGUUUUCUUCUUCUUCUUUUUUUGAGAACAACUCCCUUGCCAUUGACAUCACCGCGUUA